rnacentral:rRNA from 1 species
GGGAGCUUGCUCCCUGGGUGACGAGCGGCGGACGGGUGAGUAAUGUCUGGGAAACUGCCUGAUGGAGGGGGAUAACUACUGGAAACGGUAGCUAAUACCGCAUAACGUCGCAAGACCAAAGAGGGGGACCUUCGGGCCUCUUGCCAUCAGAUGUGCCCAGAUGGGAUUAGCUAGUAGGUGGGGUAAUGGCUCACCUAGGCGACGAUCCCUAGCUGGUCUGAGAGGAUGACCAGCCACACUGGAACUGAGACACGGUCCAGACUCCUACGGGAGGCAGCAGUGGGGAAUAUUGCACAAUGGGCGCAAGCCUGAUGCAGCCAUGCCGCGUGUGUGAAGAAGGCCUUCGGGUUGUAAAGCACUUUCAGCGAGGAGGAAGGUGGUGAGCUUAAUACGUUCAUCAAUUGACGUUACUCGCAGAAGAAGCACCGGCUAACUCCGUGCCAGCAGCCGCGGUAAUACGGAGGGUGCAAGCGUU